ACGAACGCUGGCGGCGUGCUUAACACAUGCAAGUCGAGCGGUAAGGCCCUUUCGGGGGUACACGAGCGGCGAACGGGUGAGUAACACGUGGGUGACCUGCCUUUAGCUCUGGGAUAAGCCUGGGAAACCGGGUCUAAUACCGGAUAUGACUCCGCGGCGCAUGUUGUGGGGUGGAAAGCCUUGUGCGGCUAGAGAUGGGCCCGCGGCCUAUCAGCUUGUUGGUGGGGUGAUGGCCUACCAAGGCGACGACGGGUAGCCGGCCUGAGAGGGCGACCGGCCACACUGGGACUGAGACACGGCCCAGACUCCUACGGGAGGCAGCAGUGGGGAAUCUUGCGCAAUGGGCGAAAGCCUGACGCAGCGACGCCGCGUGAGGGAUGACGGCCUU
rnacentral:rRNA from 1 species